GCUCAGGAUGAACGCUGGCGGCGUGCCUAAUACAUGCAAGUCGAACGAGUUCUGAUUAUUGAAAGGUGCUUGCAUCUUGAUUUAAUUUUGAACGAGUGGCGGACGGGUGAGUAACACGUGGGUAACCUGCCCUUAAGUGGGGGAUAACAUUUGGAAACAGAUGCUAAUACCGCAUAAAUCCAAGAACCGCAUGGUUCUUGGCUGAAAGAUGGCGUAAGCUAUCGCUUUUGGAUGGACCCGCGGCGUAUUAGCUAGUUGGUGAGGUAACGGCUCACCAAGGCAAUGAUACGUAGCCGAACUGAGAGGUUGAUCGGCCACAUUGGGACUGAGACACGGCCCAAACUCCUACGGGAGGCAGCAGUAGGGAAUCCUCCACAAUGGACGCAAGUCUGAUGGAGCAACGCCGCGUGAGUGAAGAAGGCUUUCGGGUCGUAAAACUCUGUUGUUGGAGAAGAAUGGUCGGCAGAGUAACUGUUGUCGGCGUGACGGUAUCCAACCAGAAAGCCACGGCUAACUACGUGCCAGCAGCCGCGGUAAUACGUAGGUGGCAAGCGUUAUCCGGAUUUAUUGGGCGUAAAGCGAGCGCAGGCGGUUUUUUAAGUCUGAUGUGAAAGCCCUCGGCUUAACCGAGGAAGUGCAUCGGAAACUGGGAAACUUGAGUGCAGAAGAGGACAGUGGAACUCCAUGUGUAGCGGUGAAAUGCGUAGAUAUAUGGAAGAACACCAGUGGCGAAGGCGGCUGUCUGGUCUGUAACUGACGCUGAGGCUCGAAAGCAUGGGUAGCGAACAGGAUUAGAUACCCUGGUAGUCCAUGCCGUAAACGAUGAAUGCUAGGUGUUGGAGGGUUUCCGCCCUUCAGUGCCGCAGCUAACGCAUUAAGCAUUCCGCCUGGGGAGUACGACCGCAAGGUUGAAACUCAAAGGAAUUGACGGGGGCCCGCACAAGCGGUGGAGCAUGUGGUUUAAUUCGAAGCAACGCGAAGAACCUUACCAGGUCUUGACAUCUUUUGAUCACCUGAGAGAUCAGGUUUCCCCUUCGGGGGCAAAAUGACAGGUGGUGCAUGGUUGUCGUCAGCUCGUGUCGUGAGAUGUUGGGUUAAGUCCCGCAACGAGCGCAACCCUUAUGACUAGUUGCCAGCAUUUAGUUGGGCACUCUAGUAAGACUGCCGGUGACAAACCGGAGGAAGGUGGGGAUGACGUUAAAUCAUCAUGCCCCUUAUGACCUGGGCUACACACGUGCUACAAUGGAUGGUACAACGAGUUGCGAGACCGCGAGGUCAAGCUAAUCUCUUAAAGCCAUUCUCAGUUCGGACUGUAGGCUGCAACUCGCCUACACGAAGUCGGAAUCGCUAGUAAUCGCGGAUCAGCACGCCGCGGUGAAUACGUUCCCGGGCCUUGUACACACCGCCCGUCACACCAUGAGAGUUUGUAACACCCGAAGCCGGUAGCGUAACCCUUUUAGGGAGCGAGCCGUCU
rnacentral:rRNA from 1 species